GCUCAGAUUGAACGCCUGGCGGCAUGCCUUAAACAUGCAAGUCGAACGCCAGCACGGGUGCUUGCACCUGGUGGCGAGUGGCGAACCGGUGAGUAAUACAUCGGAACGUGUCCCGUAGUGGGGGAUAGCCCGGCAAAAGCCGGAUUAAUACCGCAUACGAUCUACGGAUGAAAAGCGGGGGAUCUUCGGACCUCGCGCUAUAGGGGCCGCCGAUGGCGGAUUAGCUAGUUGGUGAGGUAAAGGCUCACCAAGGCGACGAUCCGUAGCUUGGUCUGAGAGGACGACCAGCCACACUGGGACUUGAGACACGGCCCCAGACUCCUACGGGAGGCAGCCAGUGGGGAAUUUUGGACAAUGGGCGAAAGCCUGAUCCCAGCAAUGCCGCGUGUGUGAAGAAGGCCUUCGGGUUGUAAAGCACUUUUGUCCGGAAAGAAAUCCCUGGUCCUAAUAUGGCCGGGGGAUGACGGUACCGGAAGAAUAAGCACCGGCUAAUCUACGUGCCAGCAGCCGCGGUAAAUACGUAGGGUGCAAGCGUUAAUCGGAAUUACUGGCCGUAAAGCGUGCGCAGCGGUGUGAUGUAAAGACCGAUGUGAAAUCCCCGGGCUCAACCUGGAAACUGCAUUGGUGAACUGCAUCGUUUGAGUAUGGCAGAGGGGGGUAGAAUUCCACGUGUAGCAGUGAAAUGCGUAGAAAUGUGGAGGAAUACCGAUGGCGAAGGCAGCCCCCUGGGUCAAUACUGACGCUCAUGCCCGAAAGCGUGGGGGGCAAACAGGGAUUAAAUACCCUGGUAGUCCACGCCCUAAAACGAAUGUCAACUGGUUGUCGGGCCUUCAUUGACUUGGUAACGUAGCUAACGCGUGAAGUUGACCGCCUGGGGAGUACGGUCGCAAGAUUAAAACUCAAAGGAAUUGACGGGGACCCGCACAAGCGGUGGAUGAUGUGGAUUAAUUCGAUGCAACGCGAAAAACCUUACCUACCCUUGACAUGUACGGAAUUCCGCUGAGAGGUGGAAGUGCCCGAAAGGGAGCCGUAACACAGGUGCUGCAUGGCUGUCGUCAGCUCGUGUCGUGAGAUGUUGGGUUAAGUCCCGCAACGAGCGCAACCCUUGUCCCUAGUUGCUACGCAAGAGCACUCCAGGGAGACUGCCGGUGACAAACCGGAGGAAGGUGGGGAUGACGUCAAGUCCUCAUGGCCCUUAUGGGUAGGGCUUCACACGUCAUACAAUGGUCGGAACAGAGGGUUGCCAAGCCGCGAGUGGGAGCCAAUCCCAGAAAACCCGAUCGUAGUCCCGGAUCGCAGUCUGCAAACUUCGACUGCGUGAAGCUGGAAUUCGCUAGUAAUCGCGGGAUCAGCAUGCCGCGGGUGGAAUACGUUCCCCGGGUCCUUGUACACACCGGCCGUUCACACCAUGGG
rnacentral:rRNA from 1 species